UUGAAUGGCCGCGGUAUUUUGACCGUGCUAAGGUAGCAUAAUCAUUAGUUUUUUAAUUAAAAGCUGGAAUGAAGGGUUGGAUGAAAAAAUGACUGUCUCUAAAUUAUUUUAUUAGAAAUUUAUUUUUAAGUUAAAAAGCUUAAAUAAUUUUAAAAGACGAGAAGACCCUAUAGAGUUUUAUAAAAUUAAUUUUUAAAAAAUUUAGGAUUAAAAUUUUUGAAAAUUGAUUUUAUUUAAUUGGGGUGAUUAAAAAAUUUAAAAAACUUUUUUUUUAUUUAAAUAUAAAUUAAUAAAUUUAUGAUCCAAUAUUUUUGAUUAUAAGAAUAAGUUACCUUAGGGAUAACAGCGUAAUUUUAUUAGAGAGUU
rnacentral:rRNA from 1 species